UGGAGUGGGCGCAUGAUCGCUCCGUAACAAAGCGGAGAGGAAAGUCCGAACUCCUCAGGGCAGGAUGGUUCGUAACACGAACGCCGGGUGACCGGGGGAAAGUGCCACAGAAAACAAACCGCCCGGAAUACAUGUUCCGGGUAAGGGUGAAACGGCGAGGUAAGAGCUCACCGCCCUCGUGGUGACACGGGGGGCAAGGUAAACCCCAUCUGGAGCAAGACCAAAUAGGGAGAUGUUUGAGGGCGGCCCGUCCGAAAUCUCCGGGUAGGUCGCAUGAGAUGUCGGGCGACCGGCAUCCUAGUUAAAUGAU
rnacentral:RNase_P_RNA from 1 species